rnacentral:rRNA from 1 species
CAGUAGCCACGGUAAUACAGAGGAUGCAAGCGUUAUCCGGAAUGAUUGGGCGUAAAGCGUCUGUAGGUGGCUUUUCAAGUCCGCCGUCAAAUCCCAGGGCUCAACCCUGGACAGGCGGUGGAAACUACCAAGCUGGAGUACGGUAGGGGCAGAGGGAAUUUCCGGUGGAGCGGUGAAACGCGUUGAGAUCGGAAAGAACACCAACGGCGAAAGCGCUCUGCUGGGCCGACACUGACACUGAGAGACGAAAGCUAGGGGAGCAAAUGGGAUUAGAUACCCGCGUAGUCCCUGUCUCUUAUAC